UACGGAGGGGGCUAGCGUUGUUCGGAAUUACUGGGCGUAAAGCGCACGUAGGCGGCUUUGUAAGUUAGAGGUGAAAGCCUGGUGCUCAACACCAGAACUGCCUUUAAGACUGCAUCGCUUGAACACGGGAGAGGUGAGUGGAAUUCCGAGUGUAGAGGUGAAAUUCGUAGAUAUUCGGAAGAACACCAGUGGCGAAGGCGGCUCACUGGACCGUUGUUGACGCUGAGGUGCGAAAGCGUGGGGAGCAAACAGG
rnacentral:rRNA from 1 species